UACGAACUGUUCUAACGUUAUUCGGAAUCACUGGGCUUAAAGGGCGCGUAGGCUGUUUGUUAAGCGGGGUCUGAAAUCCCUCGGCUCAACCGAGGAACUGGGCUUCGAACUGGCAGACUAGAGUGAAGUAGGGGUAAGCGGAACUUGCGGUGGAGCGGUGAAAUGCUUUGAUAUCGCAAGGAACACCGGCGGCGAAGGCGGCUUACUGGGCUUCAACUGACGCUUAAGCGCGAAAGCUAGGGUAGCGAACGGGAUUAGAUACCCGCGUAGUCCCUGAGCGGGCU
rnacentral:rRNA from 1 species